rnacentral:rRNA from 2 species
UUGGGCGUAAGAGCUCGUAGGCGGUUUGUCGCGUCUGCUGUGAAAUCCCGAGGCUCAACCUCGGGCCUGCAGUGGGUACGGGCAGACUAGAGUGCGGUAGGGGAGAUUGGAAUUCCUGGUGUAGCGGUGGAAUGCGCAGAUAUCAGGAGGAACACCGAUGGCGAAGGCAGAUCUCUGGGCCGUAACUGACGCUGAGGAGCGAAAGGGUGGGGAGCAAACAGGCUUAGAUACCCUGGUAGUCCACCCCGUAAACGUUGGGAACUAGUUGUGGGGUCCUUUCCACGGAUUCCGUGACGCAGCUAACGCAUUAAGUUCCCCGCCUGGGGAGUACGGCCGCAAGGCUAAAACUCAAAGGAAUUGACGGGGACCCGCACAAGCGGCGGAGCAUGCGGAUUAAUUCGAUGCAACGCGAAGAACCUUACCAAGGCUUGACAUACACGAGAACACCCUAGAAAUAGGGGACUCUUUGGACACUCGUGAACAGGUGGUGCAUGGUUGUCGUCAGCUCGUGUCGUGAGAUGUUGGGUUAAGUCCCGCAACGAGCGCAACCCUCGUUCUAUGUUGCCAGCACGUAAUGGUGGGAACUCAUGGGAUACUGCCGGGGUCAACUCGGAGGAAGGUGGGGAUGACGUCAAAUCAUCAUGCCCCUUAUGUCUUGGGCUUCACGCAUGCUACAAUGGCCGGUACAAAGGGCUGCAAUACCGUGAGGUGGAGCGAAUCCCAAAAAGCCGGUCCCAGUUCGGAUUGAGGUCUGCAACUCGACCUCAUGAAGUCGGAGUCGCUAGUAAUCGCAGAUCAGCAACGCUGCGGUGAAUACGUUCCCGGGUCUUGUACACACCGCCCGUCAAGUCAUGAAAGUCGGUAACACCUGAAGCCGGUGGCCCAACCCUUGUGGAGGGAGCCGUCGAAGUGGGAUCGGUAAUUAGGACGAAGUCGUACAGGGG